rnacentral:rRNA from 1 species
GACGAACGCUGGCGGCGUGCUUAACACAUGCAAGUCGAACGGAAAGGCCCUGCUUUUGUGGGGUGCUCGGGUGGCGAACGUGUGAGAAACGCGUGAAUAACCUGCCCUUGCCUUUGGGAUAACUUCAGGAAACUGGGGCUAAUACCGCUAAUGAGCGACUGCUGCGUGGUGUGGGGUGGAAGGUUUCGGCGGUUGGGGUUGGACUCGCGGCUUAUCAGCUUGUUGGUGGGGUAGUGGCUUAGCAAGGCUUUGACGGGUGGCCGGCCGGAGAGGGUGACCGGCGACACUGCGACUGAGCUAACGCGCAGACGCCUACGGGAGGCAGGAGUGGGGAAUAGUGGACAAUGGGAGGAAGGCUGAGUCAGCGAUGCCGCGUGCGGGAUUGCGGCCUUCGGGUGGUCGACAGCAUGCGCCUGUGUUGAAGCGUGAGUGACGGUAAUGGGUAAAGAAGCACCGGCUAACUACGUG